GUGCAGCAGUCGCGAAACCUCCGCAAUACACGAAAGUGUGACGGGGCCAUCCCGAGUGCCGUCCGCUGAGGACGGCUUUUCCCCAGUGUACACAGCUGGGGGAAUAAGGAGAGGGCAAGCCUGGUGUCAGCCGCCGCGGUAAUACCAGCUCUCCGAGUGGUGGGGACGCUUAUUGGGCCUAAAGCAUCCGUAGCCGGCUGGGCAAGUCCUCCGUUAAAUCCAACGAUUCAAUCGUUGGGCUGCGGGGGAUACUGUCCAGCUUGGGGGCGGGAGAGGCCGACGGUAUUCCCGGGGUAGGGGUGAAAUCCUAUAAUCCCGGGAGGACCACCAGUGGCGAAGGCUGUCGGCUAGAACGCGCCCGACGGUGAGGGAUGAAAGCUGGGGGAGCGAACCGGAUUAGAUACCCCGGUA
rnacentral:rRNA from 1 species